rnacentral:lncRNA from 1 species
UUUGGAGUUGUUGAGUUUUUCUCAUUUUGGUUCCUGAACAAUAAUCUAAGUUCAAGAUCAAGUCUUUGAAACUGGGUAUCAUUUGUUUCAUUUGUUUGUUUAAGGAAUCUCCCAGUUUGGCAGUUAUAUUUCUUGGUGGUUGUGUAAUGGAUUUAUUCUGUUUUUGGUUUUUGUGCAGCAACGUAAAGUUUUUCUUUCUGGGAGUUUUGACCUUUAGAGGAAGAGAAUAUGGGGGACAAAAAUGAAGUCUUGGAGGCUGUGUUGAAGGAAACUGUGG